ACCCGCUGAACUUAAGCAUAUCAAUAAGCGGAGGAAAAGAAACCAACAGGGAUUGCCCCAGUAACGGCGAGUGAAGCGGCAACAGCUCAAAUUUGAAAUCUGGCCCCUAGGGUCCGAGUUGUAAUUUGUAGAGGAUGCUUUUGGUGAGGUGCCGCCCGAGUUCCCUGGAACGGGACGCCGCAGAGGGUGAGAGCCCCGUCUGGCUGGCCACCGAGCCUCUGUAAAGCUCCUUCGACGAGUCGAGUAGUUUGGGAAUGCUGCUCAAAAUGGGAGGUAUAUGUCUUCUAAAGCUAAAUAUUGGCCAGAGACCGAUAGCGCACAAGUAGAGUGAUCGAAAGAUGAAAAGCACCUUGAAAAGAGGGUUAAACAGUACGUGAAAUUGUUGAAAGGGAAGCGCUUGUGACCAGACUUGGGCGCGGCGAAUCAUCCGGGGUUCCCUCCGGUGCACUUCGCCGUGUUCAGGCCAGCAUCAGUUCGGCGCGGGGGAAAAAGGCUUCGGGAACGUGGCUGCUCCGGCAGUGUUAUAGCCCGUUGCAUAAUACCCUGCGCUGGACUGAGGACCGCGCAUCUGCAAGGAUGCUGGCGUAAUGGUCACCAGCGACCCGUCUUGAAACACGGACC
rnacentral:rRNA from 1 species